CACGACUCUCGGCAACGGAUAUCUUGGCUCUUGCAUCGAUGAAGAACGUAGCGAAAUGCCGAUACUUGGUGUGAAUUGCAGAAUCCCGUGAACCAUCGAGUCUUUGAACGCAAGUUGCGCCCGAGACCWUUAGGUUGAGGGCACACCUGCUUGGGCGUCAUGC
rnacentral:rRNA from 1 species